UUGGGGCGCAGCUUUUAAAGGAAAACCCCACCCCCCCGUUAGUCAUCUUCUUCAGCCGCUGAACACCCAUCGAAAACCCCUCUUCUUCACCUUCUUCUCCACCCGUUUCCCUUACAAUAAACGAUCCCAUCUCCACAUAAAAACAGACCCUCUCUUCAAUACAAAAGUAGCGGCAGAGAACUAAAGACCUUCCCCCAUCGGCGAACCUGCCAUCUCUGCUCCAUUGACGCAUACCCAGCCAAACCACCUUCAAAAUACUACAGUUUCAGUCCAAAAUCCAACUCAAAAAUAGCUAAAAAUAAAUUCAAAAUCAGUUGGAGUUCAUCUUCGUCGUUUUUAUUUGGUUCAAGUUUUUCCGGUGAGCUUCGAGUCGUCGGAAGUUGCUGUCCGAGUCUCCGUUCAGCUGCAAGUCGAGGUAUUGUCGUUGUUGUCGAUGAUUUUCCGUUUAACAGUCCCGGCUCCGGUCAGAGGUUCAUCCUUGUUUGAAUUUUGAAAGAAGCAGUCAAUUUGAUUGUGAUAUGCGGAUCAAUAUUUUGUGCUCUUUUGGGUCGUUACCAGUUCUGCUUACAUGACUAGCGGAGAGUCUCAAAAUUGGAGGAAAACUUAGGAUGAAUCAAAUUGUACAAUGAAUUUGUCUAAAGGAAAUAAAUAAUAGAUGCAGAGUAUAUGUAUGUUAGCUGAGACAGAAUAGUGUCCGAUUUUCAUGUGUGAAAUGCUUUCUUUAUUUGGCUGAUGUAAUAAUUAGCAAAAUAUCGUGAUUAUCAAA